UACGGAGGGUGCGAGCGUUGUCCGGAAUCACUGGGCGUAAAGGGCGCGUAGGCGGCUCAUGAAGGCUGUGGUGAAAGUCCGGGGCUCAACCUGGGAAUGGCAGUGGAUACUGGAAAGCUAGAGUGCGGUAGAGGGUAGUGGAAUUCCCGGUGUAGCAGUGAAAUGCGUAGAGAUCGGGAGGAACACCAGUGGCGAAGGCGGCUACCUGGACCAGCACUGACACUGAGGCACGAAAGCGUGGGGAGCAAACAGG
rnacentral:rRNA from 1 species